UAAUUUUUUUUUAUGAUAGUCACACAGAGAGAGAGAGAGGCAGAGANCUCCAUGCACCAGGAGCCCGACGUGGGAUUCGAUCCGGGGUCUCCAGGAUCGCGCCCUGGGCCAAAGGCAGGCGCCAAACCGCUGCGCCACCCAGGGAUCCCUAUAGCAUUAAUUUUUAUAGCAUUUUAUUUCUGGAGUAAAAAUGCUUUUGUUUGCUUAAUUUGAGAGCAUAGUUCUUCAUUACCACCACUACCACCACCAACACCAGCCCAACCCCCCACAUAGCGGUAUUUAAUUGUCAUGAAAAUAGUCAUGAGUGAAGACCCUGAAAUUAAAGAAGUAAAAGAUAAAUGAAGAACUCAGAGCCUGAACCCAAGUUCAAAACAAGAUGCCAGAAGAAAAGAUCAAAGAGCUUAGAACAGAAUUCCAGCAAAAUUGAACACAGGAACACUGGUCGUCAAGUUACUCAUAAAUUUCAGGACCUCUUCCACUGCAUCUACUGGCAGAUAGAGGGCCAUGCCCACCAUCAUCUCUACCAGUGCCACCUCUAUGCGAAGGAGUUGUUCCUCCUCUUCCACUUCCUUUACCGGGAAUAAAUGGUAAACCAUCAUCACCACCACAAUCAUUUUUGUUCAAGGCCCUCCUCCUCCAUCACUACCUUUGUUGGGGGACCUUUCGCUCCAGGAUCAUCACUUGCUCUAACUUAAAGAAUGAAGCAGAAAUAAAUGUAUAAAACUAAACCUCA
rnacentral:lncRNA from 1 species